rnacentral:rRNA from 1 species
UACGGGGGGGAGCAAGCGUUGUUCGGAUUUACUGGGCGUAAAGGGCGCGUAGGCGGGCGCAACAAGUCACUUGUGAAAUCUCCGGGCUUAACCCGGAGCGGUCAAGUGAUACUGUCGUGCUAGAGUGCGGAAGGGGGCUACUGGAAAUUCCCCGGUGUAGAGGUGAAAUUCGUAGAUAUCGGGAGGAACACCAGUGGCGAAGGCGGCGAUCUGGGAAGAUACUGACGCUGAGGUGCGAAAGCGUGGGGAGCAAACAGG